rnacentral:lncRNA from 1 species
ACCUUGAAGGUAGAAAGUGACAGAGCCGGGAUAUUAGCAGAUCUUGGGCUCUUAGUCACUGCACUAUAUAUACUAUUUGUAGGCAUUCCUUUUUCACUUUUUUUCUUUUUUCUUUUUUUUUUUUUUUACUGUGGAAGCUGUUAUUACUUUUAUGAGAUAAAAACUAUAAGCACUAUUAAGGGGGGAGAAAAUUGCUCAAGGCUUCUUAUUGGAAGAGGAUCACUACUGCAAGGAGCUAAGACCCAGGCCUCCCAACAGGGUUCAUUAUACCCACGAUAGCCACAUCUCCACAUAUAGAUCUUUCUAAAUUCAAAAUAAGACAGGACUUUGAAGGAAUUGAUUAGGGUUGUGUGCACAAAGCUUCCUAUUGGCAAAUACAUUACACAGGUGGAGGGUACCCUCCACGACUCGGGCCCUGGGUUGUCCUGGGUGAUGUGCUUGUAGUAGUUUCUCUCUAGCUGUCUCUCCCUAAGAAUCAUUAAUACUGACUUCACUAUCCUGAGCUUCUACAUAAAUAACUCUGCUCUUCCUGGGCCCACCCCAGAGCUCCUUUUUUUUUCCCUCAGCUCACCUCCACUUGCCUCAUCCAAAGGGAGUCGCCGAUACCAGCUGGGCAUCAUCCACCUGUGCAUCCCAGCCUCCUGGGGCACAGUGUCCCCUUCAGGAGGCUUUUGCACAGACUGUCCCUUUGCCUGGGCAACUCCUCAGCAUCCUUCAAGAUUCAACUUGGGAUCCUCUCCUCUGAGAAGAAGACAAGUCUCCCCUGUGCUCACCACCCUCCCCCUCUGCAGUUGGGAUGAAGAACCACUUCUGGGGGCUCUCCCAGUGCUUGGGUUUCCACAUGCACAGAGGUGCUCUGUCUAUCAGGGGGGUACGAUCAUCAUCAAAUUCUUGGAACAAGCUCCUGGGACAGGAUCUGGUAAGAACAAGUCAAAAGUCCAGCUAUUCUGCAAGAAAAUGAUGUCAAACAGUUGAGUUGCCUCCACUUUUGAUGGGAAGAAACACGAAUGAGAGCAAACUAGUGGCAAAUUCUCAUUCUUCUCCACUUUUUUUUUUAAAGAAAGAAAAUAAAUAUAAAAUAUCAAGUUAAGCA